rnacentral:rRNA from 1 species
GCGAACGGCUCAGUAACACGUGGAUAACCUACCCUCAGAUCUGGGAUAACUCCGGGAAACUGGAGAUAAUACCGGAUAAUCCGUGAACGCUGGAAUGCCUCACGGUUGAAAGCUUUAGCGUCUGAGGAUGGGUCUGCGGCCGAUUAGGUAGUUGCUGGGGUAACGUCCCAACAAGCCGAUAAUCGGUACGGGUUGUGAGAGCAAGAGCCCGGAGAUGGAUUCUGAGACACGAAUCCAGGCCCUACGGGGCGCAGCAGGCGCGAAAACUUUACACUGCGCGAAAGCGCGAUAAGGGGACCUCGAGUGCGUGCGCAAUGCGUACGCUUUUCAGAUGCCUAAAAAGCAUGUGGAAUAAGGGCCGGGCAAGACCGGUGCCAGCCGCCGCGGUAACACCGGCGGCUCAAGUGGUGGCCGCUAUUAUUGGGCUUAAAGGGUCCGUAGCCGGACCAGUUAGUCCCUUGGGAAAUCUUACGGCUUAACCGUAAGGCUGCCAAUGGAUACUGCUGGUCUUGGGACCGGGAGAGGUAAGAGGUACUUCAGGGGUAGGAGUGAAAUCCUGUAAUCCUUGAGGGACCGCCAGUGGCGAAGGCGUCUUACUAGAACGGGUCCGACGGUGAGGGACGAAAGCUAGGGGCACGAACCGGAUUAGAUACCCGGGUAGUCCUAGCCGUAAACGAUGCGAGCUAGGUGUCACGUGGAUUGCGAAUCCAUGUGGUGCCGAAGGGAAACCGUGAAGCUCGCCGCCUGGGAAGUACGGCCG